rnacentral:lncRNA from 1 species
CCGACAUAGAUUCCCAUUUUUUUCUGAGGACCAAUUUUGGUACGUAACGGCGGCACUAUUGGCACAUAAAUGGGGCACCCAAACACCCGUAAAUGAGAGACGUCAGGCUCGUAUCCAGUGACCCACUGUAACGGUGAAUGUGGUUGGGUAGCGGUGGGCCUCAGGCGAAUCAACAUAGCUGCGUGCAAUAUUGCAUAGCCUCAGGCAGAUACCAGCAGUUUGGUUCACAUAACCAAAGUUUGACAUUUAUCCCUACUGAAAUGCAAUAAUCGUCAAAAGUCUAUGACGUAAACUUUCCAGCAUUACCCAGUCGAAUCGACUUGAUCGGAUAAUCAAGGUGGUGAGCCCUUAGCUUAAUGAUUUGAGCUAGGAGUUUAGUAAACGCGGUGUUGCGUAUGGAUAACAAGCAAACAUGUGACCAUCUUGUCGAUGCAUUAUCUAAAUGGUCUGCAUGUUGGUUGGAUGGGUCCACAAAUGUCCCCUUAAAUCAUCUGAAGAAAUUUAGGGGGGUCGUGAAUAAUCUUUGUAUAUGAGGGUUGAGUAUUCAACUUCCCUAAAAAACAUGCUUUGCAUGAUGGGAGUCCAACAUAGGGAUGUAACUUAUGCCCGUGUGAAGAUUUGAGGAUACAGUAUAUCAUGUCACGUCCAAGAUGUCCCAAACGAUCAUGCCAAAGCAACAAAGUGUCCGGGAACUCAAGCAUAGGGCCGGCCACACCGUGGGCUUCUAUGCCGCGAAUGGUUGUGAUGUACAACCCACUCGACAAGCAUUCUAACUUCUCAUGAAUAUGCUUCUGGCCAUAUUCAUACGAAGUGAUACAAAGAAAUUCAGAACCAUGAUCUUCAGUGGUUUCAAGAUGAUAUUGAUUAUCUUAAAUAUCUCUAAAACUCAGCAACGUUCUUCCGGAACGUGGAGAAUAGAGUGUCUCCUUAAUGGUCAAAAUUGUACCAUUAGACAACAUGAUGCGUGCCUUUCCGUAUCCUUCAAUCAGGUUGGAUGAUCCUGAGAGAGUUGUCAAAUGAGCUUUCUUGGGUAUGAAGUUAGUAAAAUAGUGGCGUUCACGCAAGAUGGUGUGCGUGGUUGCACUAUCUGCUAGACAACUAACUUCCCCACUAGACAUACCUAGAAAUAAACAGAUUGAAUUGGUCACAUGUAUAAAUAUAAGUCCAUUCAUUCAAUUAAGCAAUUCGAGAAAAUAAUAUCCAUUCAAAUAACAAUCCAUAAUUCAAAACAAACCAAAACCAAACAAAUUAUUCCAAAUACUUAGAAAAAUUGUUCAAAAUUAAACCAUAAACCUAGCAAAAUAGGGGGGUAGGGCCGACCACUCCUAGUGGGUUCAGCCACUAGGGGUAAACACCCUAAAUACACCCUAAAUACAUGCCUGGAAAUCCGAUAUCUCCAAUGAUGUAGUUGCAUCUUCUAGAUGAUCCACAUGUGCAAAAGUUAGACUCACGACGGGAAUAAUACUUGGCAAUAGCCUCAGGGGAAGCUCGGCAAACGCAUGACCUGUUGGAAAUAUGCCAUGAAAGUCA